CUGCACUCAAUUAAGUCAACUGGGCCGGGUCCCUUGUGGUGUGGUGGUAUGCAUGGCUGCAAACAGCAGCCUUCCCCAAAGAGUAAGCAGCCUGUUUUUUGCACGUGCCUAAGGCACCUGGGACAGCC
rnacentral:snoRNA from 1 species